rnacentral:rRNA from 1 species
GAUGAACGCGGGCGGCGUGCCUAAUACAUGCAAGUCGAGCGAACGGACGAGAAGCUUGCUUCUCUGAUGUUAGCGGCGGACGGGUGAGUAACACGUGGAUAACCUACCUAUAAGACUGGGAUAACUUCGGGAAACCGGAGCUAAUACCGGAUAAUAUUUUGAACCGCAUGGUUCAAAAGUGAAAGACGGUCUUGCUGUCACUUAUAGAUGGAUCCGCGCUGCAUUAGCUAGUUGGUAAGGUAACGGCUUACCAAGGCAACGAUGCAUAGCCGACCUGAGAGGGUGAUCGGCCACACUGGAACUGAGACACGGUCCAGACUCCUACGGGAGGCAGCAGUAGGGAAUCUUCCGCAAUGGGCGAAAGCCUGACGGAGCAACGCCGCGUGAGUGAUGAAGGUCUCCGGAUCGUAAAACUCUGUUAUUAGGGAAGAACAUAUGUGUAAGUAACUGUGCACAUCUUGACGGUACCUAAUCAGAAAGCCACGGCUAACUACGUG